rnacentral:lncRNA from 1 species
UUUUUGUUAUCUUUUUUAUUUUUGGUGAAUAAACUACGCAGGGACUUUCCGAAAAAUUGAAGCCUCAAAGGAGGCCGACUUUCCUUCCGUUUUGCCGUCAAGACGCUACAGGCCUCUUUUGCCCUGCUGCACAUGUAGUACUAUUUUAUGAAGUGUUGUUCUGAUUGUGCAAUUUUAAAUUUUUGCAUUGGUGGUUUCUACUUUCGGGUCUUAUAAUUUUAUUUUUAACUUUAUACUGCAGUAGAAUCCCCAAAUUACUCUUUUUGCCUUCUGUUUGCCAAGUAAGGAAACGCUAGCUCUUCUAAAAUGAUUUGUUAUUCAUUCCGGCGUGGAAGCCCGUUGAGCUAAAUUAGUUGUGGGGUUUUUUUUUUUUUUUUUUCCUUUUUAUUUUUCAUGGAGAAUAAGGUGGGGGAUCCCAACUUCCUUUAGGUGUUGUUUGGUUUAGGGUUUACCUCCACUUACUAGUUGCGAUUCAGCUCUAUUCUCAAGACCUUCAAACUUAGUCAGUUCUGAUUUCAGAUAAUUUACUUUUGAGCCUCGGGUACCACAGGAACGUGUAUACGAUGAACUUCAAAUUUCGAAUGAACCUCCCCUUUUGGCUCUGAGAAAGACUUAAGCGCCCGUCAGCAAAGCACAGUUUGUUAACCGUCUCUUUCAUAAUCUGCCCUGAUCCUUCCAUUAGACCAUUAUCUUGUACCCUCUGAAUAAUUCUCAAAUAAGGUGAUUAGGGGUCGGCUUAUCGAAAACCACUUGUAUUUUUUGUCAAGUAGGGUUGCUCUUCACUAAAGAUCGCCAGUUUGCAUCUGGUGCUCAGAUGUUGACUAACGGAGCUACGCAUUUUCUUAUGCUUUGCGUUUCGUUUGUUUGGAUCAUUAUUGCGCUAAAAAAUUGUAUAUUUAUACCAGGAGAGCCUGCCGAGCUACCCCUGUCAUGGUUAAAAUCGUAAUAAAAUUUAAAUAAUUAACCAGCACAGAUGGGCCUGCUCUGUACCGAAUGUAGGCUGCUCUGAACCGAAAAAUUUGUUCUUGUUUCCUAGACUAGAUGGUCGCAGUUCAGCUUGUUUUGAAUCCUUGUUAUAAUUAAUUUUGAUAAUAAUAGUAAUGGGUACCUUAUUGCAGAAACCCUUUUAAGAAUUUAUACACACACACACACAUUAUUCUCAAAGUUUCAGACUAUGAGAAUGAGAAUCAUUGUAUGAGGUAGUAGCAUGAUAAAUGGGAGCAAAUUGAACAUAAUCGGAAAGAGAUGAACAUAUAUAUACCAUGCAUGUGGGUGGAAAGAGAGUGAGACAUACAAAGUAGUGCUGCGACACUAAUUACAAUAACAACCCAUCAGAAAUAAACCGACACUCUCCGAUGCUUGCUUACACAGCAGAUCUAAGUGGAAAACACACACACACACACGUGCAUACAAAUCUCCGCGCUUCUAUUUCCCUCCUAAAAACCAUCAGAAAGAAAGUAGAUACUAAAACUUAAUUACCCAGUACAAAGGAGAGGCAGAGAUCAAAAUGCACACAUUAUUGAUGUCUCUUUAACUCUCUCACGCUCUCUUAAUUAGCUCCUCGUAUGGCCACUGCAUGGUUUAAGUAGAUGAUUAUGGGCCAUGACCGGUAGGCGGCGGUACCUUCGCAUGCGAAGUGGUGCCGCCGCCGUCACUGCCGCUGCCGUCUAGCCCUUCUUUCCCCCCUACCACGGCGGUUAAGGCGGAGCUCACCGCCGCCGACACCCUUUUGCCAACGUCGGCAUAUAUGUUUUGCCUAAUCGCGCCUCUUUUCGGGUUGGGAUUCCCUGUUGCUUUCUUCCUCUGCAGCUUGGUUGGCUCUUGUGAGCUCGACAUUUUUGCACUGCUGGGCUUCUUCUUCGAGUAGCACUGCUGAGUGAGAUCUAGAGAGAGAGAGGGGGGGGGGGGGGGGGGGUGUUGCAGGAGGAGAGAGUUGUGGAGUAUCUGUGUGUGCGGAGUGGAUUACUUAUGGUAAUCGAGGAACGAGGUUUCAUGUUUCUCACCGUAUUAGGAUGGAUCAGUUUAAAAUUGUGAAAAAAUUACGUUUACACAUAAAAAAAAAUAUAAUAAAAUAAUUUUUUUUAAAAAAUAUUAUAUUUUUAGACACGAAAUUUUCUUUCUGCUCAUUAUAAUGAAAAUGUUAGAAUUUUUGUUACCUUAAUCAAACAUUUUACUUAAAAUUGCUAUCAUUCAAAUCAAAACAGAAGCUAUACGGAACAAGUCUCUGCAAAAUUGCUACCGUGGCACUUUUUAAAUUAGCAUAAAUGGCACACCGACCGUCUCUGGAGUAAGUAGCAAAAGAUUUAGUGAUUGAUAUCCAAAGUUUCAAAUUUGAAUUAUAGUUGAUUCACAUUUUCAGUUAAAUUUAUUUCUAAAUGAAAUAAAUGAAGCGGAUAAUGUACUACUUAUCUUAAAAAAAAAAAGAAAAAAAAAGAAAAAAAAGAUAAUACUAAGGCACCACGAUACAGAUCCUAAUCAAGUAGUAACGCUGGGGGACACAGUGCAUUAGAUCCUACGGCAUUUAUAAAUCGGCACGUGGAGAAUGACUUAUUUUUUUGCGCUUAUCUUGAAAGUUGCUUGACCCACAAGUUAUUCAGUAGUUUCAAACGACAUGGAAACGGAGCAAACGGGCAUCUUCUUAUCUCUGCUCUCAUUCCUCACCUCAUGUCUGAAUUAAAAUGGACUUUCAAAUAAACUGAAGUUCACAUAAAUAUUAUUAUUUUUUGUUAUUUAUUUCUAUACUUAUUGAAUUGAAAUUUUUUUAGCUUUCUUAUUUGUUUGACAUAAAGCAAAUAAUAAUAUUUUUUUUCCUCACUGUUUAUUUUUUAAUUGACUUCGGUUUAAAAUUGGCUGAAGUUUAUUACGUUAUUUUGAAAUUUUUUGAUUAGAAGUAAAAUUACGAUGAGCUAAACGACAGAAGUGAACAGCAUGUGACCGAAAAUUAUUUUGUCCUCUCUACCUUCAAUGAAACAAACAUAUUUAGUUCGAUAUUGUUUACUUCGACAUCUAUCUUUUAAAUAGUAAUAUUCACAUUUUUUUUUUCCUUAAUGAUUAGAGUUUAUUUGUGUUCUUCUUUUCCAUUUAUCAAUCUCUCUCCCAAACUUCCUUGUUACAUAAUUAAAUUUAGGGAAAACUUCAAAAACCCCCUCUGUGGUUUCAUGCAUUCUCACUUUAGUACCCUGUGGUUUAAAACGUAUCAAUUUGCCCCCCUGUGGUUUCGUUUUUAUCUUUUCAGAAGCUUUUUCGUUAAUAUUUCGUUAAAUUAUAUACAAAAAACUUCAGAUAACCAUCUAUGUUUAUCGAAUAUUCACUUUAAUAUCUUUUAAUUUUAAUUUUGGCACUAAUUUAAGAAAAAAAAAAUAAUAAAAUUGAUAACAAAAAGAAAAAAAUGAAACCACAGGGGGGCAAAUUGAUAUGUUUUAAACCACAGGGUAUGAAAGUGAGAAUACAUGAAACCACAGGGGGGGUUUUUGAAGUUUUUCCUUAAAUUUAAUAUUUUUAUGACUCACAGACAAAUU